AUUGAACGCUGGCGGCAGGCCUAACACAUGCAAGUCGAGCGGGGUUUUCGGACCUAGCGGCGGACGGGUGAGUAAUGCGUAGGAAGCUACCCGAUAGAGGGGGAUACCAGUUGGAAACGACUGUUAAUACCGCAUAAUGUCUACGGACCAAAGUGUGGGACCUUCGGGCCACAUGCUAUCGGAUUCGCCUACGUGGGAUUAGCUAGUUGGUGGGGUAAUGGCUCACCAAGGCGACGAUCCCUAGCUGGUUUGAGAGGAUGACCAGCCACACUGAAACUGGGAACCGGACCAAACUCCUAGGGGAGGCAGCAGUGGGGAAUAUUGGACAAUGGGCGCAAGCUUGAUCCAGCCAUGCCGCGUGUUUGAAGAAGGCCUUCGGGUUGUAAAGCACUUUCAGUAGGGAGGAAGGGUGUUGUGUUAAUAGCACAGCAUUUUGACGUUACCUACAGAAGAAGCACCGGCUAACCCUGUGCCAGCCGCCGCAGUAAAAC
rnacentral:rRNA from 1 species